CGGGGGGCGGGGCAUGGCGUGAGGGGCGGCACGGCGGCCCGGGACCAGCGGCGGGCUUUGCGCUCCGUGGGCCUGAGCUUCGAGUGACGGCUCGCUCCUUGUCCCCUGUGGCGUUCUCUGCAAAGCUCUUCGCUGUGCCCGGCGCUGCCCUGCGUCCGGUCGUGAGCUGCUCUGUGGGAAUUUGAAAAUGUAUUCCUAGGCAUCCUUCACCCGGACUGCUCCUUCUUCUCUAAUUCUUUUCACUCAUUUGAGCCUUACCUGUGUUGAGACCUGGUUCGCCCCUACCCUCAGAGGACCCCCGUACAGAUUUAACAGUUUAGGAAAUCAUAUUCGACCUUCGCAACUGUUAAUGCUUAGGGUUUAAUUUGUGGAUUUCUAUUCCCGCCUGGUUUCAAGGUGUGGUGCCCGGUGGGGUUUUGGCUAUUAUUUUCUGUGUGCUUUAAGCAUUUGUUCAGCACGGUAAGAAAAUACAAGCUACUUUUAGGUAACUAAAAGGAUAGGUAACCAAAAAGGAUAGGUAAAUACUAGCUGUUACAGCAAAUGCACGGCACUUCCUAUAAAAUAAUGAUUUCUGGAGUAAGGGUAGGAAGAGCCAGAGGCAGCACCUGUACCGGAGCCUUCCCACAAGUUUCCAGGAAAAACCUGCCCUUCUCAGACAACUGCCAGAAAGUGGCUUGAAGGCACGAGAAGAAUGAGGUGACAUCAUCUGCGAGGACAAGCUGUGGUGGACCAACAUAAGUCUUGCCUGGAGGAGGGAAGUGUCCUUGUGGGACAUGGGAAGAGCAGUGACAGCCAUUUACUGUGACUUUAGCAAGGUCUCUGAUACAGCCUCCCACAGUAUCCAAAUGGGAUAGGCAUGGACAGGAGAAUGGAACUCCUGUGCAAUGUGCCUUGUGCUCAGCAGGACAAAUCCUUCAUUAGUAUUCUAUCCUCUAUUGGCUUUUGAUUUCUCGCUGUUCAUGCUAAUUAGUCCAUAUUUUUAGUCUUUUUCCUCCAUUAGGGAUUUUACAACACACAUAUAUUGAGUCUUGGUUAGAUUUUUCUUUAUGCUCUGAUUUCUACAAAACAUCUGUGUAGUCUAUAAAUUCUGUUCUUCUGGUGAAAUGGAAAUAAAUCACAAUGCAAACUGUUUCA
rnacentral:lncRNA from 1 species